rnacentral:piRNA from 1 species
UCCUGUGUGGUGGCCUUGUCUUGGUGA